rnacentral:lncRNA from 1 species
AAUCUAACAACCUAAAUAUAAUUAAUUAAAUCUAAACCAACCUUAAGCAUAAUUAGCCAACUAAUCUGGAUUAGUGAGAUUACUCACCAAAUCGCGCGCAAGUCGGAUCAAUCCGACGGCAGCGACGCGAGGAACGAUUGUUCCCAAAGCACGGCUCGGGUUCGGGGCCGGGAAACGGUCCAAAAGCGGGCCCGAAGUGCUGGAAACCCACUUCGUGGGUCUGCUGGUUUAGCUGCAAAACAGAGAGAAAGAGAGAGGGUUGGGGGCGGCAAGAGGUCGGGAGAGCAAGCGGGGCUCCGGUGAGGCCGGACGGCGGCUCCGGCGGCCUACUCAGCCGCUCACGGUGGCUGAACAGAGACCGAACGGGAGCUGGGUCGCACGGCAGGGACGGCAAGCGCAGGCGGCGCACGGGCGGCGAACGGCGGACGUGCGGCG